rnacentral:tRNA from 1 species
GCGGGUGUAGUUCAAUGGUAAGAACUCCAGCCUUCCAAGCUGGUCGCGUGGGUUCGAUUCCCAUCACCCGCUCCA